UUUCCAGAGGACAGAUUUGACUGAUUGCAACCUCUGAUCCGGAAUUGAGCCGGACCACCAAAAAUGCUAAAGCAGUUUGC
rnacentral:ncRNA from 1 species